rnacentral:rRNA from 1 species
GACGAACGCUGGCGGCGUGCCUAAUACAUGCAAGUCGAACGCUUCUUUCCUCCCGAGUGCUUGCACUCAAUUGGAAAGAGGAGUGGCGGACGGGGGGUUACCACGUGGUUAACCUACCCACCGGAGGGGGUAACCACUGGGAACAAGGGGCUAUUACCGAAAACAGGUUUAUGCCGCAUGCCAUAGGAUUGAAGGGGCCUUUGGGGUGUGCUGGAGGGUUGGACCGCGGUGCAUUAGCUAGUUGGUGAGGUAACGGCUCACCAAGGCCACGAUGCAUAGCCGACCUGAGAGGGUGAUCGGCCACACUGGGACUGAGACACGGCCCAGACUCCUACGGGAGGCAGCAGUAGGGAAUCUUCGGCAAUGGACGAAAGUCUGACCGAGCAACGCCGCGUGAGUGAAGAAGGUUUUCGGAUCGUAAAACUCUGUUGUUAGAGAAGAACAAGGACGUUAGUAACUGAACGUCCCCUGACGGUAUCUAACCAGAAAGCCACGGCUAACUACGUG